GUAAAGCCAGAUCUCAGCAGUCAAGGUCAAGUGAGUGAGGCAUACCCCGCAACGAUGGCGUCGGCCUCGGAGCGUGGGCGAAGCGUGCCGCCGGAGGACCCCGGCCUUCUUAGGAGACGCCGACUAGGAGAUGGCAGGAACUUCCCGGACAGCGAGGUAGUUUUAUUUUGCACCGGAGGCGGAUUCCCAUCCCGGACGUCCGAGAGAUAAGUCGAGGGUUACGACCCACAGAGGGGAUGAAAGCAGGGUGCCGGGUCGGGCCUCGCCGGGAGGGAUUUUUGAGUCGGCUUUGAAGGCGGGAAUGUCCCAGAAGGGGCCCCUUAGCCCACAUAAAGGGCAAGUCUUACUUUUGAUCACAAUGUCGAGGCGGGCAGAGCAGUCCCGGUGUGUGUCGUGUCACUUGUCUAUUGUAUGUUCUGUGUCUUUUGGGCAUCUUGCGUCUUAGGUCUUUUUCCUUA